rnacentral:rRNA from 1 species
GAGUUUGAUCGUGGCUCAGAUUGAACGCUGGCGGCAUGCCUUACACAUGCAAGUCGAACGGCAGCACGGGAGCUUGCUCCUGGUGGCGAGUGGCGAACGGGUGAGUAAUGCAUCGGAACGUAUCCUGGAGUGGGGGGAUAACGUAGCGAAAGUUACGCUAAUACCACAUAUUCUGUGAGCAGGAAAGCGGGGGACCUUCGGGCCUCGCGCUCUUGGAGCGGCCGAUGUCGGAUUAGCUAGUUGGUGAGGUAAAGGCUCACCAAGGCGACGAUCCGUAGCAGGUCUGAGAGGAUGAUCUGCCACACUGGAACUGAGACACGGUCCAGACUCCUACGGGAGGCAGCAGUGGGGAAUUUUGGACAAUGGGGGCAACCCUGAUCCAGCCAUGCCGCGUGAGUGAAGAAGGCCUCGGUUGUAA